UUAUCAUUAAGGUCUCCAAGUCCUAGAGACAGGGAUCAAACCCAGCCCCCAAGAGGUGGGCAUUGAUAAUCUGCACAAGGAAAAGACAAUUGCCAGAUAAGGGAGAUACCAAAAACAAAAGAAUGCACCCCCAGGCAGGUAUGAAUGAUAAAAUAAAACAACAGCAGCAGCAAUUCCCAAAGUGGAGCAAGCUAAAUAUUAUGCAUUUUUCUAAAGAGUAACGUGCCUUUGUAUGAUGACUGGGUUGGGGGAGUCUGCUCCCUUCCUGUCUGUGGAAGCAGCAGGCUGAGUCACCAUGACAGUCUGCUAAUUAAAAUGACCUCCUGGAAAUGAGGAUUAGGAGAUAGGGAGAGGAAGGGAGCUCCAGGGAGAUAGGGCCUUUAGCACAAAGCUUCAGUUAAGCAUUCUCUCCCUUUGUGUUGGAGAUUUUUGGAGUUUGUUGCAAAAAAAAAAAAAAAAAAAAACGGAAGAGCAAAGCCUGUUCUCCUUUUGAAUGUUGGUUUUCAGAAAUGAUAACAAAG
rnacentral:lncRNA from 1 species